GUUAUCUCUCACUUCAAUACAUAACAACCAUCUCUCUCAAAACAAAACUCUAACAUCUCUUCCACUCGUCUCUCUUAAAAAAAAUCCUAACAUCUCUGUCACUCAUUUCUCUCAUAUGGAAACCACAAACUUAUGUAGCGAACUCAUCUUCUUCUAAGGGUUACCUUUGUUGCAUCAAAUUUUAGCAAAUGACUACCUUACAGGUUCGUCUUCAUAGUAGUUUAUGUUUCAAAGUCUAUUUAUGUAUUAUUGUAUAUGUUUCAAUAGUUUGUUUCAUAAUGUUUAAACUUUCUGAUUAUUUUAACUUGUAGGUAGGGAUGAUGAAUGAAAAAAGUUAACGAGGAUAAAGCUAAAGUGAGCGCUGCAAACUUGUGUGAAUUUGGUUUAAUUGUUCUAGUUCUUCGAUCGCCCUUUUCUCUAUCUCUAAUUUUGUUUGCAAAGUAAAUAAUAUUUUACAAAAUGAACUAGAGAUGAAAGAAGGGGAUGUUGAAAUACU
rnacentral:lncRNA from 1 species